rnacentral:rRNA from 1 species
CGAUGUCGGCUCAUCACAUCCUGGGGCUGAAGUAGGUCCCAAGGGUAUGGCUGUUCGCCAUUUAAAGUGGUACGCGAGCUGGGUUUAGAACGUCGUGAGACAGUUCGGUCCCUAUCUGCCGUGGGCGUUGGAAGAUUGAGAGGGGUUGCUCCUAGUACGAGAGGACCGGAGUGAACGCACCACUGGUGUUCGGGUUGUCAUGCCAAUGGCAUUGCCCGGUAGCUAAGUGCGGAAGAGAUAACCGCUGAAAGCAUCUAAGCGGGAAACUUGCCUCGAGAUGAGUCUUCCCUGUC